rnacentral:rRNA from 1 species
GUGUCAGCCGCCGCGGUAAUACAGAGGGUGCGAGCGUUGUUCGGAAUUAUUGGGCGUAAAGCGCUUGUAGGCGGCGUGUCAAGUCGCGUGUGAAAGCCCCGGGCUCAACCCGGGAAGUGCGCGCGAAACUGGCAGGCUCGAGUCCCGGAGAGGGUCGCGGAAUUCCCGGUGUAGAGGUGAAAUUCGUAGAUAUCGGGAGGAACACCAGAGGCGAAGGCGGCGACCUGGAAGGAGACUGACGCUGAGAAGCGAAAGCGUGGGGAGCAAACAGGAUUAGAUACCCUGGUAGUCCACGCCGUAAACGAUGGAUGCCAGCUGUGGGAGGAGUUGACCCCUUCCGUGGCGACGCAAACGCAAUAAGCAUCCCGCCUGGGGAGUACGGCCGCAAGGCUAAA